AGCUGGCGGCGUGCUUAACACAUGCAAGUCGAGCGGAAAGGCCCUUUGGGGUACUCGAGCGGCGAACGGGUGAGUAACACGUGAGUAAUCUGCCCCAUGCUUCGGGAUAGCCAGCCGAAAGGCUGAUUAAUACCGGAUAUGACACUCUCCUGCAUGGGAUGGGUGUGGAAAGUUUUUUCGGCGUGGGAUGUGCUCGCGGCCUAUCAGCUUGUUGGUGGGGUAAUGGCCUACCAAGGCUUCGACGGGUAGCCGGCCUGAGAGGGUGACCGGCCACACUGGGACUGAGACACGGCCCAGACUCCUACGGGAGGCAGCAGUGGGGAAUAUUGGACAAUGGGCGGAAGCCUGAUCCAGCAACGCCGCGUGAGGGAUGACGGCCUUCGGGUUGUAAACCUCUUUCAGCACAGACGAAGCGAGAGUGACGGUAUGUGCAGAAGAAGGACCGGCCAACUACGUGCCAGCAGCCGCGGUAAUACGUAGGGUCCGAGCGUUGUCCGGAAUUAUUGGGCGUAAAGGGCUCGUAGGCGGUUUGUCGCGUCGGGAGUGAAAACCUACAGCUUAACUGUGGGCUUGCUUUCGAUACGGGCAGACUUGAGGCAUGCAGGGGAGAACGGAAUUCCUGGUGUAGCGGUGAAAUGCGCAGAUAUCAGGAGGAACACCGGUGGCGAAGGCGGUUCUCUGGGCAUGUUCUGACGCUGAGGAGCGAAAGUGUGGGGAGCGAACAGGAUUAGAUACCCUGGUAGUCCACACCGUAAACGUUGGGCGCUAGGUGUGGGAUCCAUUCCACGGGUUCCGUGCCGCAGCUAACGCAUUAAGCGCCCGCUGGGAUACGG
rnacentral:rRNA from 1 species